AUUGAACGCUGGCGGCAGGCUUAACACAUGCAAGUCGAGCGGAGCGAGGGUGCUUGCACCUUAGCUUAGCGGCGGACGGGUGAGUAAUGCUUAGGAAUCUGCCUAUUAGUGGGGGACAACAUUCCGAAAGGAAUGCUAAUACCGCAUACGCCCUACGGGGGAAAGCAGGGGAUCUUCGGACCUUGCACUAAUAGAUGAGCCUAAGUCGGAUUAGCUAGUUGGUGGGGUAAAGGCCUACCAAGGCGACGAUCUGUAGCGGGUCUGAGAGGAUGAUCCGCCACACUGGGACUGAGACACGGCCCAGACUCCUACGGGAGGAAGCAGUGGGGAAUAUUGGACAAUGGGCGGAAGCCUGAUCCAGCCAUGCCGCGUGUGUGAAGAAGGCCUUUUGGUUGUAAAGCACUUUAAGCGAGGAGGAGGCUCUUAAGGUUAAUACCCUUGAUGAGUGGACGUUACCCGCAGAAUAAGCACCGGCUAACUCUGUGCCAGCAGCCGCCGUAAAAC
rnacentral:rRNA from 1 species